rnacentral:rRNA from 1 species
UACGUAGGGUGCAAGCGUUGUCCGGAAUUAUUGGGCGUAAAGAGCGUGUAGGCGGCCAGACAGGUCCGUUGUGAAAACUCGAGGCUCAACUUCGAGAUGUCGGCGGAAACCAUCUGGCUAGAGUCCGGAAGAGGAGAGUGGAAUUCCCGGUGUAGCGGUGAAAUGCGCAGAUAUCGGGAAGAACACCUAUGGCGAAGGCAGCUCUCUGGGACGGUACUGACGCUGAGACGCGAAAGCGUGGGGAGCGAACAGG